CCUACGGGGGGCAGCAGUCGGGAAUAUUGCACAAUGGAGGAAACUCUGAUGCAGUGACGCCGCGUGCAGGAAGAAGGUUUUCGGAUUGUAAACUGCUUUAGGCAGGGGAGAAAAAAGUCAGUACCUGUAGAAUAAGCUCCGGCUAACUACGUGCCAGCAGCCGCGGUAAUACGUAGGGAGCAAGCGUUAUCCGGAUUUAUUGGGGUUAACGGGUGCGAAGACGGGAAUGUAAGUUGGUUGGUAAAUCCCUAGGCUUAACUGAGGAACUGCCACUAAAACUGAAUUUCUUGAGUGCGGGAGAGGAAAGUGGAAUUCGUAGUGUAGCGGUGAAAUGCGUAGAUAUUAGGAGGAACACCAAUUGCGAAGGCGACUUGCUGGACCGUCACUGACGUUGAGGCACGAAAGUGUGGGGAGCAAACAGGAUUAGAUACCCUUGUAGUC
rnacentral:rRNA from 1 species